CGAACGCUGGAGGCGUGCUUAACACAUGCAAGUCGAACGAUGAAAUGGAGCUUGCUCCAUGGAUUAGUGGCGAACGGGUGAGUAGCACGUGAAUAACCUGCCCUUAAUUUUGGAAUAACCCAGGGAAACCUGGGCUAAUACCGGAUAAGUAAACCUGUGGCAUCACAUGGUUUUGGAAAGUUUUUCGAUUAAGGAUGGAUUCGCGGCCUAUCAGCUUGUUGGUGAGGUAAUGGCUCACCAAGGCGACGACGGGUAGCCGGCCUGAGAGGGUGAACGGCCACACUGGGACUGAGACACGGCCCAGACUCCUACGGGAGGCAGCAGUGGGGAAUAUUGCGCAAUGGACGAAAGUCUGACGCAGCGACGCCUCGUGAGGGACGAAGGUCUUCGGAUUGUAAACCUCUUUCAGCAGGGACGAAGCGAAAGUGACGGUACCUGCAGAAGAAGCACCGGCUAACUAUGCGCCAGCAG
rnacentral:rRNA from 1 species